UACGAGGUGCCCCGAGCGUUAUCCGGAAUCAUUGGGCGUAAAGGGUGUGAUAGGUGGCAUUGUUAGUCAGUUGUUAAAACCUGGGGCUCAACCCCAGAUGUGCGAUUGAAACGGCAAAGCUAGAGGAUGGCAGGGAUGUAUGGAACUCAUGGAGUAGGGGUGGAAAUCCGAUUGAUAUCAUGGGGAACACCGAAAGCGAAGGCAGUACAUUGGGCCACUCCUGACACUGAAACACGGAAAAGCGUGGGUAGCGAAUGGG
rnacentral:rRNA from 1 species